rnacentral:pre_miRNA from 1 species
CACAUCCAACACGUGACGUGUUGGGAUCACCGCGGUAAGUUAAUAUCAGAUACACUUACCGUGGGAGAGGAUCCCAACACGUCACGUAUCGGUAAGCA